rnacentral:rRNA from 1 species
GACGUAGGGCGCGAGCGUUGUCCGGAUUUAUUGGGCGUAAAGAGCUCGUAGGCGGUUUGUCGCGUCGGCUGUGAAAACCCGCAGCUUAACUGUGGGCGUGCAGCCGAUACGGGCAGACUAGAGUUCGGUAGGGGAGACUGGAAUUCCUGGUGUAGCGGUGAAAUGCGCAGAUAUCAGGAGGAACACCGGUGGCGAAGGCGGGUCUCUGGGCCGAUACUGACGCUGAGGAGCGAAAGCGUGGGGAGCGAACAGG